AGAGUUGGUUAGACAAUCGCUCUUUGCUUCGGCAAAGGGAGGAAAGUCCGGGCUCCAAAGGGCAGAGUGCCAGGUAACGCCUGGGAGGUGUGAACCUACGGAAAGUGCCACAGAAAAUAUACCGCCUCGUUAGAGGUAAGGGUGAAAUGGUGCGGUAAGAGCGCACCGCGCGACUGGCAACAGUCGUGGCAGGGAAAACCCCACUCGGAGCAAGACCAAAUAGGAAUCCAUGUGACUGCAAAGUCAUGACGUGCGGCCCGUACGGGAUUCGGGUAGGUUGCUUGAGGCAUGCGGUGACGCAUGUCCCAGAUGAAUGAUUGUCCGCGACAGAACCCGGCUUAUCGACCGACUCUUUUU
rnacentral:RNase_P_RNA from 2 species